rnacentral:other from 1 species
AAUACCCUGCUGUGUUCGAGAUGUGAUCGCCCCGUCUUGGGCCAACACCAGAAUAUCGGGAUCUUUAUUCGCGAUUGUGAUGCGAUAGGCAAUAGCCAAGGCAAAACGUCGGAGCGGAUCCCAAGCCUGCACUUAGCAGGUUCAAGACUUGUUCACACACGGCAUGGCGGGGUAUUU